rnacentral:rRNA from 1 species
CCUACGGGUGGCAGCAGUGAGGAAUAUUGGUCAAUGGGCGCGAGCCUGAACCAGCCAAGCAGCGUGAAGGAUGACUGCCCUACGGGUUGUAAACUUCUUUUUUAAAGGCAUAAAGUGAGACACUUGUGCCUGUUUGUAUGUACUUUAUGAAUAAGGAUCGGCUAACUCCGUGCCAGCAGCCGCGGUAAUACGGAGGAUCCGCGCGUUAUCCGGAUUUAUUGGGUUUAAAGGGAGCGUAGAUGGGUUGUUAAGUCAGUUGUGAAAGUUUGGGGUUCAACCGUAAAAUUGCAAUUGAUACUGACAGCCUGGAGUACAGUUGAGGUAGGCGGAAUUCGUGGUGUAGCGGUGAAAUGCGUAGAUAUCACGAAGAACUCCGAUUGCGAAGGCAGCCUACUAAACUGCCACUGACAUUGAUGCUCGAAAGUGUGGGUAGCAAACAGGAUUAGAUACCCGAGUAGUC